rnacentral:rRNA from 1 species
UAGCGAAAUACCUCGUCACUUAAUUAGUGACCUGCAUGAACGGAGCUAUGAGGUUCUCACUGUCCCAAACUGUCUCUCAGCGAACCAACUGUAGUGGGAACGGUCACUAGAUAUCCAGCGGGGAAAGAAGACCCUGUAGAGCUUCACUUUGGUCUAGUCUUGUAUAGUUCCUGCGGGGGUGUAGACUAGGUGGGAGAGCAAUCGAUUCUGAAAAACCACUACCCUGUUUGGAAUUAUGCUUACCUAUCACAAGGAAUAGGACUAGAUAGAAAGUUUGGCUGGGGCGGCACACCUUCGAAAGAGCAGCGAAGGUGUCCUAAGUUGAGCUCAGUGAGGACAGAAAUCUCACGUUGAGGAUAAGGCCAAAAGCUCAAUUUACUGUGCCUUUUUGUACUAGGAUCAGUUACGAAAGUAAGGCCUAACGAUCCCUAAAUAGCCUCAGGUGCGUGAGGAUUGGGGUGACAGACAAGUUACCUCCGGGACAACUGGCUUGUGGCUGCUAAGAGAUCAAAUCAACGCAGCUUUUUGAUUCUUCGAUGUCGGCUCUUCCUAUCCUAGUGAUGUACAAGUUGCUAAGGGUCGGAUUGUUCACCCGUAUUAGGGAUCGUGAGCUGGGUUUAGACCGUCGUGAGCCAGGUUUGUUUUAUCCUACUGGAUAUAGCAUCAUGAUAGUAGAUUGAUUUAGUACGAGAGGAACUGUUGAUUAUGGCCUCUGGUUAGCGAUUAUCGGAAACGGUAUGUCGCGCAGCUACGCCGUCUGGGAUAAUGGCUGAAAGCCUCUUAAGCCAGAAGCCCAUCUAGAAAGUGAUGCACGUGAUGUUGGACCGAUACGAAUAAUCAUACUCAAAAGGUCCGCUUCAUAGGUAACCCAAUGUAGAAGACAUUGUGUGAACGAAGGUACUGUAAGCAGUGGAGUGGCAUUACGUCCACGACCUGUUGAGGUUCAGCUUCGCUUCUAGGUUUCCAAAUAUUUU